GACGAACGCUGGCGGCGUGCUUAACACAUGCAAGUCGAACGGAAAGGCCCUGCUUUUGUGUGGUGCUCGAGUGGCGAACGGGUGAGUAACACGUGAGUAACCUGCCCUUGACUUUGGGAUAACUUCAGGAAACUUGGGCUAAUACCGGAUAUGAGCUCCUGCUGCAUGGUGGGGGUUGGAAAGUUUCGGCGGUUGGGUAUGGACUCGCGGCUUAUCAGCUUGUUGGUGGGGUAGUGGCUUACCAAGGCUUUGACGGGUAGACGGCCUGAGAGGGUGACCGGCGACAUUGGGACUGAGAUACGGCACAGACGCCUACGGGAGGCAGCAGUGGGGAAGAUUGCACAAUGGGCGGAAGCCGGAUGCAGCAACGCCGCGUGCGGGAUGACGGCCUUCGGGUUGUAAAACGGGUUCGCCUGUGACGAAGCGUGAGUGACGGUAAUGGGUAGAGAAGCAACGGCUAACUACGUG
rnacentral:rRNA from 1 species